GCCCACGUAGCUCAGUCGGCAGAGCGCAUGCAUGGUAAGCCUGUGGUCACCGGUUCGAUUCCGGUCGUGGGCU
rnacentral:tRNA from 1 species